UGGCCAGGGAGGUGCGGUCCUUCAGCGCCGCCUGCCUGGCCAGCAGGGACUCCAGGUCGGCCUGGCGGGAGCUCAGCUCGCCCUCCGGCGAG
rnacentral:tRNA from 1 species